GUCUUUUAAAAGGCACAAGAGGAAGUGACAGAACUGAGAGACCAAAUUGAUGCCUUUAUUUGUCUAAGAAAAUGCAGCAAUGAAGAUUCUCAAAAGGUGAGACAGUACAAGCAGUCUGCUGUUCAGGAUCUUCAGCAAGCUCUCUACUACAGUAGGACAGAGGAACACUUUUCAAAGAUUUCUGACCCGACAUGCAAAAAUGUAAAACCUGAAGACUUGAUGGAAGAUUUGCGAUCUGAGUGCAACUGGUUGGGUCAGUUGAUGGCUUUAAAUAAUCCUCCUCUUCAACCUGACUGGAAAAAUCACAAGCCUGGAAUGGAUGCUUGGCACAUACUCCCAAGAAACUUCAGACAAGUGAAUAAAACUAAAGUCUAACCAAACUUCAAAACCUGAGUGACCCAUUUCCAUUACAUAGCGAACAUAACAAAAUUAGUAAGUUUCUUAUCAUCCUUACAUUAGCAGUUUAACUAGAUUGUUUUUCAUUUAAGGUUUAAUGAAUUUGUCAACCAUGUGAAAGACAAAACUUGCUUUUUCUUAACCUUGCAGCUGUUUCCCUAUCUACCCCUUACUUGUGAAACUACCUGUGUGUAGGAUGUUAGUUCCUGUGUUCCUUCUUCCUUCUUAUCAGAAUGGCUCCCUUCU